rnacentral:rRNA from 1 species
CAUUCAGUUGAGCACUCUAAAGAGACUGCCCGGGUUAACCGGGAGGAAGGUGGGGAUGACGUCAAAUCAUCAUGCCCCUUAUGUCUAGGGCUACACACGUGCUACAAUGGUGAGAACAAAGAGACGCAAGACCGCGAGGUGGAGCCAAUCUCACAAAACUCAUCCCAGUUCGGAUUGCAGGCUGAAACUCGCCUGCAUGAAGCCGGAGUUGCUAGUAAUCGCGAAUCAGCAUGUCGCGGUGAAUACGUUCCCGGGCCUUGUACACACCGCCCGUCACACCAUGAGAGUUGGCAAUACCCGAAGUCCGUGGGGCAACCGUUUACGGAGCCAGCGGCCGAAGGUAGGGUCAGCGAUUGGGGUGAAGUCGUAACAAGGUAGCCGUAGGAGAACCUGCGGCUGGAUCACCUCCUUU